rnacentral:rRNA from 1 species
CCCUUAGAUGUUCUGGGCCGCACGCGCGCUACACUGAUGCAUUCAACGAGCCUAUCCUUGACCGACAGGUCCGGGUAAUCUUUGAAUCUGCAUCGUGACGGGGAUAGAUUAUUGCAAUUAUUAAUCUUCAACGAGGAAUGCCUAGUAGGCGCAAGUCAUCAGCUUGCGUCGAUUACGUCCCUGCCCUUUGUACACACCGCCCGUCGCUCCUACCGAUUGGGUGUGCUGGUGAAAUGUUCGGAUCGGCCGUUUGUCGCGGUUUCCGCGUCAUGUGGCUGAGAAGUUCAUUAACCCCUCCCACCUAGAGGAAGGAGAAGGCGUAACA